GGUUGAUUGACGCUGAGGCACGAAAGCGUGGGGAUCAAACAGGAUUAGAUACCCUGGUAGUCCACGCAGUAAACGAUGAUGGCUAACCGCUGGGCCUUACGGUUCAGUGGCCAAGCGAAAGCGAUAAGCCAUCCACCUGGGGAGUACGACCGCAAGGUUGAAACUCAAAGGAAUUGACGGGGGCCCGCACAAGCGGAGGAGCAUGUGGUUUAAUUCGAUGAUACGCGAGGAACCUUACCCGGGCUUGAACUGCAGGAGAACGAUCCAGAGAUGGUGAGGCCCUUCGGGGCUCCUGUGGAGGUGCUGCAUGGUUGUCGUCAGCUCGUGCCGUGAGGUGUCGGCUUAAGUGCCAUAACGAGCGCAACCCCUUUCGCCAGUUGCCAUCAGGUGAUGCUGGGCACUCCGGCGACACUGCCACCGUAAGGUGUGAGGAAGGUGGGGAUGACGUCAAAUCAGCACGGCCCUUACGUCCGGGGCUACACACGUGUUACAAUGGGUGGUACAGAGAGCAGGGUGCACGCAAGUUCACCCGAAUCAAGAAAGCCAUCCUCAGUUCGGAUUGGGGUCUGCAACCCGACCCCAUGAAGCUGGAUCGCUAGU
rnacentral:rRNA from 1 species